rnacentral:miRNA from 1 species
UACCUUGUUGACCGGAAGGGAUUCCUUCUGGUUGAUGAGGAACCUAUACCUCGUCGACCGGAAGGGAUUCCUUCCGGUCAGUGAGGAA